ACCAUGAUGGUCUGGAGACAGACGAAAGCAAUUACAGUUCUGCCAUGUUCAUACACAGGCAGUGCAAGUGAUGGCUUCAAGACACUUGUCCCUUCUUCCUCUACCUUUCUUUGGCAAGGAAACAUAGUGAACAUGGCCCAAACUGGAGCAACACUGGACCAAAAAUUAAAGGAAAGGAACUGACAGACCAGACCAAGGGAUCAGGGGAGGCAAUGGCCAUCAUGAAGUACAGGAG